UAAAACAGUUUCUGCUGUGACUCAGCAUUCAGAGGGUGACUGUUCUCUUUUGUGCAGAAUUGCAAUUGAGAGAUUUUGAGCAAUUUUUUUUUACUAUGGGGUCUGCUAGUGAUCAUUCAUCCAGGCGCCCCA